rnacentral:rRNA from 1 species
GACGAACGCUGGCGGCGUGCUUAACACAUGCAAGUCGAACGGAAAGGCCCUGCUUGCAGGGUACUCGAGUGGCGAACGGGCGAGUAACACGUGGGUGAUCUGCCCUGCACUUCGGGUUAAGCCUGGGCAACUGGGUCUAAUACCGGAUAGGAGCCAUUUUUAGUGUGAUGGUUGGAAAGUUUUUUCGGUGUAGGGUGAGCUCGCGGCCUAUCAGCUUGUUGGUGGGGUGAUGGCCUACCAAGGCGGCGACGGGUAGCCGGCCUGAGGGGGUGGACGGCCACAUUGGGACUGAGAGACGGCCCAGACUCCUACGGGAGGCAGCAGUGGGGAAUAUUGCACAAUGGGCGCAAGCCUGAUGCAGCGACGCCGCGUGGGGGAUGACGGCCUUCGGGUUGUAAACUCCUUUCGCUAGGGACGAAGCUUUUUGUGACGGUACCUAGAUAAGAAGCACCGGCUAACUACGUG